AGGGUUUGAUCCUGGCUCAGAACGAACGCUGGCGGCGUGGCUAACCCAUGCAAGUCGUGCGCCAAAGUCGGGGCAACUCGGCGAGUAGCGCGGCGAAAGGGUGAGUAACGCAUAGGUAAUGUACCCCGGACACGAGGAUAGUCCGCCGAAAGGCGGGGCAAUACUCGAUGAGACCACGGGCAGGCAUCUGCUUGAGGUCAAUGGGCGAGGACCGCAAGGCUUGUCGGUCUGGGAGCAGCCUAUGUUCCAUCAGCUAGUUGGUGAGGUAAUGGCCCACCAAGGCUUUGACGGAUAGCCGGACUGAGAGGUCGACCGGCCACAUUGGCACUGAGACACUGGCCAGACUCCUACGGGAGGCUGCAGGGACGAAUAUUCGGCAAUGGGCGAAAGCCUGACCGAGCGACGCCGCGUGUGGGAAGAAGUUCUUCGGAAUGUAAACCACUGUCAGGGGUUACCAAGCAAGUGCGCCCAAUAUGCGCGCAAGUUGAGGAGCCCCAAAGGAAGCCACGGCUAACUUCGUGCCAGCAGCCGCGGUAAGACGGAGGUGGCUAGCGUUGUUCGGAAUCACUGGGCUUAAAGAGCACGUAGGCGGCCUGUUAAGUGCCUUGUGAAAUCCCCCGGCUCAACCGGGGAACUGCUUGGCAUACUGGCAGGAUUGAGGCAAGUAUGGGUGCAUGGAACUCUUGGUGGAGCGGUGAAAUGCGUAGAUAUCAAGGGGAACGCCGGCGGUGAAGACGAUGCACUGGGCUUGUCCUGACGCUGAGGUGCGAAAGCCAGGGUAGCGAACGGGAUUAGAUACCCCGGUAGUCCUGGCCGUAAACGAUGUCCACUAGGUUGGGGUUCUUUUGACGGAUUCCCGGCCGAAGUAAAAACGCUAAGUGGACCGCCUGGGGAGUACGGUCGCAAGGCUAAAACUCAAAGGAAUUGACGGGGGCUCACACAAGCGGUGGAGCAUGUUGCUCAAUUCGAUGCAACGCGAAGAACCUUAUCCUGGGCUUGACAUGUACGAAUACCUUACCUGAAAGGGAUAAGGUUGCCCUUCGGGGUGAAGCGUACACAGGUGCUGCAUGGCUGUCGUCAGCUCGUGUCGUGAGAUGUCGGGUUAAGUCCCAUAACGAGCGAAACCCUUGUCGCUAGUUGCCAGCGGGUCAUGCCGGGAACUCUAGCGAGACUGCCGGUGUUAAACCGGAGGAAGGCGGGGAUGACGUCAAGUCCUCAUGGCCUUUAUGCCCAGGGCUGCAAACGUGCUACAAUGGCUGGGACAAACCGAUGCGAGACCGCGAGGUGGAGCAAACCGGAAAAAACCAGCCCCAGUUCAGAUUGCAGUCUGCAACUCGACUGCAUGAAGUUGGAAUCGCUAGUAAUCGCGGAUCAGCUACGCCGCGGUGAAUGUGUUCCUGAGCCUUGUACACACCGCCCGUCAAGUCAUGGGAGCCGGUAGCACCCGAAGCCGCCCCGCCUCAGGGGUGUCUAAGGUGAGAUCGGUGACUGGGACUAAGUCGUAACAAGGUA
rnacentral:rRNA from 1 species